UACGAAGGGGGCUAGCGUUGCUCGGAAUCACUGGGCGUAAAGGGUGCGUAGGCGGGUCUUUAAGUCAGGGGUGAAAUCCUGGAGCUCAACUCCAGAACUGCCUUUGAUACUGAAGAUCUUGAGUUCGGGAGAGGUGAGUGGAACUGCGAGUGUAGAGGUGAAAAUUUCGUAGAUAUUCGCAAGAACACCCAGUGGCGAAGGGCGGCU
rnacentral:rRNA from 1 species